UUGUUAAAAACAUAGAACUCCUAGUUCUACCAAAGAGAGCUUGAAAAAGUCUAUCCAUGUUAAAUCUUAGAUCACUGUCAACGACUUACUCCCAACGCCUAAACAACAGGUUUUUGUGGCUUAACAGAAACGCGACUUUGAGUUUCAUUAAGACUUAAACAGGACAACUCUACCAAUUGGCUCUGAUACCAUUAGGGGAAGCUAGCGUAAUUUUAACAACUAGUUCAGUCGACUAUUA
rnacentral:lncRNA from 1 species